CGCGUAAAGAACUUGCCUCACAGACAGGGACAACAUUUGGAAACGAAUGCUAAUACCUGAUAUUAUGGUUAUAUGGCAUCAUAUAAUUAUGAAAGCUACAUGCGCUGUGAGAGAGCUUUGCGUCCCAUUAGCUAGUUGGAGAGGUAACAGCUCACCAAGGCGAUGAUGGGUAGCCGGCCUGAGAGGGUGAUCGGCCACAAGGGGACUGAGACACGGCCCUUACUCCUACGGGAGGCAGCAGUGGGGAAUAUUGGACAAUGGACCAAGAGUCUGAUCCAGCAAUUCUGUGUGCACGAUGAAGUUUUUCGGAAUGUAAAGUGCUUUCAGUUGGGAAGAAAAAAAUGACGGUACCAACAUAAGAAGUGACGGCUAAAUACGUGCCAGCAGCCGCGGUAAUACGUAUGUCACGAGCGUUAUCCGGAUUUAUUGGGCGUAAAGCGCGUCUAGGUGGUUAUGUAAGUCUGAUGUGAAAAUGCAGGGCUCAACUCUGUAUUGCGUUGGAAACUGUAUAACUAGAGUACUGGAGAGGUAAGCGGAACUA
rnacentral:rRNA from 1 species